rnacentral:rRNA from 1 species
AUAAGUAAUGUGAAUUGCAGAUUUCAGUGAAUCAUCGAAUCUUUGAACGCACCUUGCACCCUGUGGUAUUCCACAGGGUAUGCCCGUUUGAGUAUCAUUAAGUCAUCAACUCCAAAACCUUUGUGUUCUUGGUGCUUGGUCUUUGAGGGUCAUUGCA